AGCAACAUCGAGAAAUUGUGUUGAUGAAAAUGAAAAACACAAUACCCAAUCAUAAAAAAAAAAAAAGAGUUGAUAUUCAAAGGCUGAGAGCGAGAUUGUUGAAAUACAACUGUGUUGCGAAGGGCCUGUAAUGUCAUCGUGUUGAGGAACGCUUGAGAUAUUAGGAUGCUAGGGAUAUCAAAACAUAGAAAUGGAAGAGCGUGAUAUGGGCAUCUCGCUAUACUUUGAUAGUUGGAGUACUUGAGAAUGCGCUGAUCGGUCAGUGAAAAUCACAUCACAACAACAAAGGGCAAGGAUGAACUAAGAAGAGGGUGGAAAAAAGAAAUGAGGAGAGAGUAGUGCCGACAAAGAGAGAAAUGAACAAAGAGAGAAAUGAAGAAAAAAAGAUGAUGAGAUAGGGUUUUAGAAAUUUAAGAAAUUAUAUUAAGAUUUGGACGAAUGAGAUCUCUUAAAAUG
rnacentral:misc_RNA from 1 species